UUGGAAAGAUUCGAUUCAUAAUUUACAAUCCUUUCAUCUUCAUUCAUAAACUUUGCCUUGCUUUUUGCCCAAGUGAUCGUCUCUUUUUUUAAUUCUGUCGUUUUCUUUUCAGAUUCGAUAAUCCUAGAAGAUGUUAAAAGGGAAUAUUUAGAUUCAUUUUCAUCUGUGAUACACGUAUACAAAUUUAUUUGGUAAUUGUUAAGUAUAUAUAGUAAGUAUAGGAAUGAUCCUUUCAUUGAAUUUUCUAUGAAAUUGCUUUCCAAUAAUAGUUGUUCAAGUUAGUUUUAAUUAGUUAGUUCUACAAGAGAACUUUUUUGUCUUUUUGUCUUUUUUGAAUAUUCUCGUCUAUAAUUCCUAUAUUAUUUCUAGCAAUGACUUGUUUUUCAACUUCUUAUGGUAUGAACUAAUUUUUACCCAGUUGAUUCAGCAACGCGCAAUAAGAGAGUUACAUUAUCAUAAUAUCUGAGUCGAUAAUUAAUAAUAAUAGCACUUAUUAAUUAUUCCAAACAGUAAUAAUCUUUACGUAUAUUUUUCUAAGUCAAGCACGAUCGCUAACAGAAAACACAUAUAUCAAAUAUUUGUUCUAAAAUUAUUUUCUAUAUAAGUUUUAUUAAAAUUAUCAUAUACGGAUUUGAAAUAUUCUUCUGUUGGUCAUUGUUCCUACAUGGAAUUGUUAAAUUAUUGUGUUUAUAAUUGCAGGGAACAUUCGUGGAAAACGAAGAAGGAGAGCGGAAAAAUUUAUAUUUCUCUACUCGAGGCCACUAUAAUUUUUUCUUCUUCUUUCGUCGGUAUUUCCUCCGAACAUAUACCUAUCCAUUACACGGUUGUUUCCCAGUGCUCCCUGUAUCGCCCUUUAAAAGCCUUACAAUGCGUCAUCACCGUCGUUCGCUACUGCUCAGACCUGGAGUGCCCUACAACCGUACAAAAGGAUAUAAUCGCAACCCUACAAUAGAAUAGAGUUCGUUUGGAUCAUAAUAAUUUCAAUUGAAGGAACGAACGACGGAGUGGUUCAAAGGGCGUACACGAAUGUCUUCUGAGAGAGCGAACACUGUUAAACUGAGCAUCGCGUUCCGACCGAGCGUGAGCUAAAUGAUCAAAAUAUGGCCCUCGCGUGACAGAUGCGGAGAACAAUCUUUCUUUGCCUUACCAGGAUAUUAUACGUUUCUAUGUUUUUUUACUUUUUUUAAUGUAUAUGAUAGCGCUUGUAGACGUAGUACGUACAUAAUAACAGAUGUAGAUAAUAUGUAAAAAUCGGUAGUUUAAGUAUUAAAUUUUAAGCUUGCAAUUAGGUUUGGCUUGCUUGAUGUUAGUUUGGUUUAAUGCUAGUGGACCGUGUAGUUUCAUUAGAUUUGACCUGCUUUACUUCGUUUUAUGAAACUUGCAGAAUUUAGAAAGAACUCAGGAGAUCCAGGCAAGUCGGACAAUUCAGGAGAUCCAGGCAAGUCGGACAAUUCAGGAGAUCCAGGCAAGCCGGACAAUUCAGGAGAUCCAGGCAAGUCGGACAAUUCAGGAGAUCCAGGCAUGUGAGAUGAGAAUUCAGUAGAUUCAGAUAAAUCGGACAAGAAGAAGAUCAAAAGUAUUUGAAUCCGGUAUUAUCCAAAAGAAGAGAAAUCAAGAAUGGAAAUGGAAGAAAAUGGAAAGGAAUCACAGCAACUGUAUAAUUCUGACUGUCGUUGGUUCGACUCCCAUAAAAAUACAUUUCAACAGAUUAUAAUAGGGGACAGACGUACACGAUGGGGAUGGCUGGUGAAUUGCCGGACCUCAAAGGUCGUUUCGCCCGAUGAAUCCCCUGAAACGCGUGGCGGAGUGAUCGCCUUUCGAUCGAACGGUAAUUCACUUACAAGUUAAUAAUGGGAAGGGGCGCGGUACACCCAUUUAUCUGCUGAACAGGCUAAAGGGGUUGGGGGAGGGAUGAGCCGAAACCGCCAACAGAGAUACUGAAACGCCACUGUAACUUUUCAGUAUCCUAUGUUUUAUGAAGCUGCUCGACCAAGAAGAUGGAGAAUUCCAUGGACACCGGUGAUCCUGUUUCAAGUUAGAUCUGCGGAGAUUCUUUUCUUCGUUUGGCGGAAACUCAGAAUUCUCGAACGAAAAUUUACAUCGAUCUGAGUAGAGACCGUGGUUUCCGUUGGAUUUUCCAUUCAAACUUUACCUUAUGUAAAUCAAAUUUGACUGGCGGUAAAGCAUCGACCGGUUGAUGGUGAUGAUAUUCUGAUUUCAAUAGUGAAAGGAAGAGAUAUCUGCUUUACUUUUAUAAUAUAUUAAUUCUAUCUAUACUAGAUACGCUUCGUUCCUUCUGUGAUACUUUUUCAAAUUGCUCUGCUUAUUUAAAGUUUAAAUCGAAGUUGUUAGUUCAAUUUUUCUGAUUGUGUAAAGUGUCGUUUCAAUAGGUACUGGGUAAUGUAAGGAACGUUGCAUAAAUUACUUUCUAAGCAUAAUUUGUAAGGAUAAUAGGAGUAUCUGAUACAUAUAUUAAUUACCUAAUAAAUAAUGUAUUAAUUAAAUUCCGCCGAGAUGCUGAAAGAUAUUGACGUAUUAAUCCAAAGUUAGUUAAUUUAGUCGAAUAUAAAUUUUAUAUAGAAGUAAUUCUAUUAAGUACGUCAGUUUCUCUUUGUAGAAAUAAUCUUCUAGUUUUAUAUAGAUUAGAUUAGUAGAUAUUUUAUUUAGUUUAAUUUUGAAUAUUUGUAAUAAUAAGAGCAGAAGCAUUAGAAACGGUUUUCGAGUCACUUAUUUAAAGCUAUUGAUCAGUCGGAAAGAGUAAUUUUUGGGCGUGGUGCUGAAAAGUCAGGAAUGAGGGGCUUUGCGUGAUUAGUGACGAACGUAAUAAUCGUGAAGGUCAUUCCGUGCAAUUACGUCGAAAAUCACCGUCGAUUGGGCCACGCGUGAAUGUUCGCUCUUUUGUAGAUCAUGAUAUGUAAUUUUUUAGCUCGCGUGUAUCCGUCGAUAUUCUUUUAAUAAGUCAACUAUUUUAACUGUUGCAAUCUUUGUUAGAAUUAUAUCUUUGUUAGUCUCCACUAAAAGGACAAUCGUUGAUAAAAAUAUGAUAAAACGAGAAAAUCUAUUAUUAGUAAAUUUAUACAAUAAUAUUUAUGAUUAAUAUAAUAUUUUCUUUCUGUCUUUGCCGUAGACUAAGAAGGUGUAGUGCUUUAACUUCUCAA